CAACUGUUGAAUAGGUAAAUUUUGUCAAAUAAAUGCAUAACAAUGAACAUUUUCACAAAGAAAAUAAUACUAAUAUUUUUUUUACCAUUUCAUAAUUUAGCAAAUAAAGCUUUGCCUACGUUCGUAGUACAUUUAAUGGAGGUAUCAAACUGCAUAAAAAAUAAACAAUAUAAAUUUAUAAAUGCAUAUUAUAAUUUUUCGGAUGACAAAGAAAACAAUAAAUUUACGGUUCUUCAAGAUAUAACACCUAGUUUAAAUUUAACAUCUCAAAACACUGUUCUCACAAAAAAUAUUGGAUGGAAGGUAGAGCCUGUGUUUUCAGGAAAAAUUAUAAGCUCUUGUUUUUUCCUGAAAAAUGAUUUAACUGUUAUUCCACUAAUAAGAGAAUUCGUAGAUAUACCUAAAGAAUGUCCUGUAAGAAAAGGAGUUCGACAAAUAAUUAGAAAAGAACUAUUAAGUACAACACGUCCGUCGUUACCUUUUGGCUGUUGGAUGUUAAAGCACGAGUUAAAGGAUUCUAAAGGAUUAAUUGUCGGAUGUAUAAAAAUAGUUGUUAUUCAAUCAAUAUUAUUCACCUUAGAAGAAAUGAAGAAGCAAUGUCAUUAAAUGUAUUUUAAUAAUUACUAACUUAUCAGUUGAAUUAAUUUUAAAAAAAUGCUAUUUAAGUACAAAGUGGUUUUGCUAUCAAAAACCGAUUCAAAAGCUGAUUCAAUUACAAAAUCAUCUCGAAUAUUAAUCCUGAAUAUUUUUAGUCCAUCUUUUAGGCCACAUGGAAAAAUCGAUCAAUAGAGCAGAUUUUACUAUCAUCGCGCGUAUGAUACUUCUUCGCAUCAGCAUUUUUCAAAUACUAUACAUAAGUUAUGUCAUCAUAGGUCGACACGAAUACCUCUCCCCUUGCACAACGUCAGUUGGUACAGAACAUUAACAGAGGAGCGUUGUUUACUAUAAGUUUUUUCCUGGUUCCUUAUAAUUUUUAAUAAGAGAUAUGCCAUACUAUAUUUACGUUGUAACACAUUGAAUUCAUAUAUUUUUAAUGUUAAAAUACCGUAGAAUUAUUGCCCAAAACAUAUAGAGGACGAGCUAUAUAUUUUUAAUAAUUUAUUGUUUUAU